rnacentral:tRNA from 1 species
UGGGGACAUAGCUCAGCUGGGAGAGCGUUCGCUUCGCAUGUGAGAGGUCGCGGGUUCGAAUCCCGUUGUCUCCAU